ensembl:lncRNA
GUGGAGGGAGGGAGGGAGGGAGAAAGAGAGGGCUUUUAAUCUGCCUGUGGAUGUGGCUUUACACCGUGAGAGGCAGGCUGAUGUGGGAGAUGAGAUCAUUACUAUAAUUAAACCCUCUGUGGCGUUUAUCAAACAGCUUAUUUGAUUUGACAAUGUGAGAUGAGGCAUCAUAAGAGGACUAGUAAACCAGCUUUUUUCACUGAUCAGACUGGCAUGCUCUCUGCCAGCUGGAGAAGCGGGAACUCUACGCACCAUGAGUCCAGUGCUGCUCUCCAGCGCUCUGUGUGCAACUGCAAUGCUGACAGAAGGCGCUGCCCAGGAUGUUGGUUUCAUGCCAUGUCACAGUCUUUAGAGGGACGAAAGCCGUACUGUCUGUUCAAAGUGAACAAAGGCUUAACGACAAAAAACAUCACUGUAUUAACAAAGCUAAAGGGCUUAUCUGAACAAAACACACUUUUAGAGGUCUUAGAGAGGGGCACGCCGAGAGAAUCAGGUCUGUUACUUAAUGUUGUGUAUUACAUGUUACAUGCAUGGCUGUCAUGUGUGAAUGUCAUAUCUAACGUAGGCCCUUAUCUAACGCCUUUGAAUAACUAGCCAUCCAUAAUUAUAGCAACUGCGAUGACUAUUAAAAACCCCUUACUAGCAGAGAAAAUAAUGACCUUCCGUGUCGUUCAGUGCCUGUUCGUAUUGUAUUUUUUUCAAGGGUAAACUAAAAUAUACUUUCAUGUAAUUAAUAUUCAAACUUGUAUGUCAUGUAUUUAAAUGUAUUUGUAAUUAUGCAUUUGUAAUGGCAAAGUUGCAAUUUAGUACAUGUAAACUGUAUUACUUUUUCUAUAUUACAUUUUUAUCAUUCUUAUGUUUAAAGCGGUCCAUAAGAGACGGUGGUCUUGUCUGUGUACAGCUCAAUGUGAAAUUAGAUGAAACAAUUCCGUGAAUGGAUUUGAGGAUUUGACUCGGAGUGAAAUUGGCAAAUGUUACAUCUCUGUGUUGUUGGAGUGAGAUUAGAAAAUAAUUUAAGGCUGUAAUCAUUCGGAAUCCCUUUAUAUGAAGAGAAGAGAUUAAGAAGAGAGGGAAUUUUUCACUUUUGUCUUAUAUAUUCAAUAGACAGUCCCAUAAAAGCACAGAAAAAUAUUGCUCUGUGCAACUAAACUAUUUUAUAUAGCCUAAUAAUGUUAUGAAGUUCACUUUUUUUCUGAGUUUUUGUACUUUGUCUUGCUUCAGCAACAAAACUGAGUUUAUUAAACGAAAGGUAAUGAGAAUUUAGACUUCAUUAUUUUGUAAUGAAUAUUUACGCUCUUGUUUUUCCAAGUUUCUCAGUAAUUUUGCACCACUUUUUUCCCACUCUUUUAACUGUCUUUUUUUCUGAGUUUUUGUACUUUGCCUUGCUUCAGCAACAAAUCUGAGUUUAUUAAACGGAAGGUAAUGUGAAUUUUGUGUAUUUUGAGUAUUUUGAAUGAAAGUGUAUGCUCUUGUUUUUACGAGUCAUCUUGCAGCACUUUGCACUCAUUUGUAUUUUUUCCACUCUGUUAACUGUCUUUUAGGUGCGCACAUGUCACAAAG